rnacentral:rRNA from 1 species
UACGAAGGGGGCUAGCGUUGCUCGGAAUCACUGGGCGUAAAGGGUGCGUAGGCGGGGUUUUAAGGCAGGGGGGAAAUCCUGGAGCUCAACUCCAGAACUGCCUUUGAUACUGAAGAUCUUGAGUCCGGGAGAGGUGAGUGGAACUGCGAGUGUAGAGGUGAAAUUCGUAGAUAUUCGCAAGAACACCAGUGGCGAAGGCGGCUCACUGGCCCGGUACUGACGCUGAGGCACGAAAGCGUGGGGAGCAAACAGG